GAUGAACGCUGGCGGGAGGCCUAACACAUGCAAGCCGAGCGGUAUUGUUUCUUCGGAAAUGAGAGAGCGGCGUACGGGUGCGGAACACGUGUGCAACCUACCUUUAUCUGGAGGAUAGCCUUUCGAAAGGAAGAUUAAUACUCCAUAAUAUAUUGAUUGGCAUCAGUUGAUAUUGAAAGCUCCGGCGGAUAAAGAUGGGCACGCGCAAGAUUAGCUAGUUGGUGAGGUAACGGCUCACCAAGGCGAUGAUCUUUAGGGGGCCUGAGAGGUGAUCCCCACACUGGUACUGAGACACGGACCAGACUCCUACGGGAGGCAGCAGUGAGGAUAUUGGUCAAUGGGUGCAAGCCUGAACCAGCCAUCCCCGCGUGAAGGACGACUGCCCUAUGGGUUGUAAACUUCUUUUGUAUAGGGAUAAACCUACUCUACGUGAGAUAGCUGAAGUACUAUACGAAUAAGC
rnacentral:rRNA from 1 species